GGUUUAAAGCUCCGGNGGAUACAGAUGGGCUCNNGUGACAUUAGCUAGACGGUGAGGUAACGGCUCACCNUGGCGGCGAUGUCUAGGGGUUCUGAGAGGAAGGUCCCNNNNAUUGGAACUGAGACACGGUCCAAACUCCUACGGGAGGCAGCAGUGAGGAAUAUUGGUCAAUGGACGCAAGUCUGAACCAGCCAUGCCGCGUGAAGGUGACGGNCCUAUGGGUCUUAAACUUCUUUUGUAACAGAGCAAUAAGGAUCACGCGUUGGUCCGACGAGAGUAUCUCACGAAUAA
rnacentral:rRNA from 1 species